UGCCAAUAAGCAGUGAUCAGUUUCUUUUGUUUGUUUUUCUAUUGUUUACCUACUAUAUUAUUAUUAGAUGAUGACUUACCUCCAAAACGUUUUAAAACUUUCGUUUAUAAUUCUAAGUGUGUUUAUAAUUAAAGAGCUACAGUGAAAUAAAAUGAAUUCUUCAAGAAAGGCAGCACCCAUGACAAAAGAUGAGACGAUGAUUCUAGCAGAACUUGUGGCGGCGAAAAAACAUUUCAAUAAUAAGGCAACAAAUGCCACAAACAAUAAAUUGAAGGAGCAGGCUUGGCAAACCCUUGUAAAUGAUUUUAAUUCGUCGAUUCGUCGUUUCCCACGAACUCCAUCGCAGCUUCGACUAAAAUGGGAAAACUUAAAGAACGCUACGGCAACAUAAGAAACAACCUUAGUAAGGCUGGAGGUGGUAAGGAUUGCAGAUGAAAUUUUGGAUAAAGCAUGCACAUUGUUGUAGGUCACAUAUAAUAUUUUUAACACUUUUACAGCCAAGCGGAAACAAGAUGGAAGAAAAGAAAUGCAAGGCUAGCAUAGGGACAAUGCAUUAGCAGAAUAUCUAAUAGCAAAAAAGAGACUUGACUUGGAAAAUAAAGAAAAGGAGAUUGUUGUAGCAAAAGUUAAGUUAGAUUUAGAUAAUUUAAAAAAUUAAAAACUACUUAAAAGGAAUAUUAAAUUUCAUUAAUUAAGUAGGCAAUAAUAAUUUUAUGUUAGAUAGUUUUUUAAGUAUAUGUACAAAUUCUAAAUUAAAUAUCUUGCAUGUACUAACUACCAUGUAAUUAUCAUUUUGGAAAAUAAAAAAUAGUCAAAUUA